ensembl:lncRNA
GGAAGAUGCCCUGGAAAAGGGAAUGACAACACACUCCAGUAUUCUUGCCUGGAGAAUCCCAUGGACAAGAAUUCUGCGGGGUUACAGUCCAUGGGGUCACAAAGAGUCAGACAGGACUGAGCUGAACUAGGGCCAGAAUCCCGCAGAAGGGAUUUCCAUGAUGCUGCACAAACAUGAGCCCGUGUGUCCAGGAUGAGGGGACCUGCACUGUGACCUACCUACGUCUUGUCAGUGGCAGGAGAGCUUCGGAAAGAACCAGAGGAGCAAGUGGGCUUUCCUGGUGGCUCAGACGGUAAAGAACCCGCCUGCCAGGGUCCAUCCCCGGGUUGUGAAGAUCCCCUGGGGGAGGAAAUGGCUACCCACUCCAGUCUUCUUGCCUGGAGAAUCCCAUGGACAGAGAAGCCUGGGGGGCUACAGUCCAUGGGUGGCAAAGAGACACAAACAACAAAGGGUAGCAAGUGUCAUAGUAGGGAACAGGGCUCUGGGGAUUCGGAAGCAGAGGCGAGCAGACGAAGAGAAAGAUGUUUACAACACGUAACCGGAGCGAGGACAGUGCAGGCAUGGAGAGGACAUUGGAAUGGAAAGGUGCAGGCUGUCUUUGGGGAAUGGGGCAGAGCCUGUUCAAGUCCAGGACCGGGCGCGUCCUGCAGUGGGGCUGCAAAGUCCGGCCUUCUCCUGGUUGGACACUGUCUCUUCGCUUCUACCGUCUGUUUCCUGGGGGUAGAGACCCUGCUCUCUAUGUAUUUGGAAACGAGCAAGGACGCUGCAGAGGGUGGUCCAUAAACCUCACGGCUGCAGAGAGGAAACAAAGCCGGCAGCGCCCCAGCACCGCGAGGCCCUGCCCGCUGUGAACCGAGUAGUACGGCGUCUCCCAGCUGGAGUGGAAGCUCUGCGGGGCAUGCAGGCAGAGAGAAGCAGGUCUCUUGCUAGCGAUCGUCAACCGAACAAGAAAGAAAAACGAUCUUUUCCUGAAACACACGAGGAAGGCCUGGACCUGGGCUCUGAGGUCAACGUGGUCCUCGCACCGCUGGUCUCCGGUGGGAGGGAGCUAUCCCGGGCUCUAGUGGCCGCCGGCAAGGAGUAGGAAGGCUGAGGCCUAAGGACCAGCGGUCGAGAGCUUGCAAACAGCGACUCGGGGCGGGCGGCGGGCUGGGACCGGGCGCGCCCUGCGGGGGUUGGGGCGGAGGAACGCAGCCUCUUGCAGCCCUUCUUCUGCCCAGGAGGACGGCCUUCUGCAAACCUGCCUGGACUCGGAACAAUUCAUCCUGUUUUUCCUUUAAAAAAAAUAAAUAAAAAUCCUGUUUUUCAUAAAAUCAUUGUCAGAACCCCGAAGAGGGCGGUACCCGAAGGAAUCUGGAAAACAGCCCGCAGGGGCGGGCAGCGGGGCGUGUCUGGUGUCGGGCGGCUGCAGGAGAACAGAAGGGCGCAGUGCGGGCAGAUAACCAGGAGGGUGCUGGCGGCCCAAGCGCACCCCGCCGGGGCCCCCCCAACCCCGCACACACCCCCGCGUCCCGGAGCAGCCGGGGCCCG